rnacentral:rRNA from 1 species
UUAGGAAUCUUCCACAAUGGGCGAAAGCCUGAUGGAGCGACGCCGCGUGAGGGAUGAAGGCCUUAGGGUUGUAAACCUCUAAAAGAGGGACGAUAAUGACGGUACCUCUUGAAUAGCACCGGCUAACUACGUGCCAGCAGCCGCGGUAAUACGUAGGGGGCAAGCGUUGUCCGGAUUUACUGGGUGUAAAGGGCGCGCAGGCGGGAUAAAAAGUCAGUGGUGAAAUCCUACAGCUUAACUGUAGAACUGCCUUUGAUACUUUUAUUCUUGAGUUCGGGAGAGAGAGACGGAAUUCCAGGUGUAGUGGUGAAAUACGUAGAUAUCUGGAAGAACACCAGUUGCGAAGGCGGUCUCUUGGUCCGACACUGACGCUGAGGCGCGAAAGCGUGGGGAGCAAACA